GAUGAAGAACGUAGCGAAAUGCGAUAAGUAAUGUGAAUUGCAGAAUUCAGUGAAUCAUCGAAUCUUUGAACGCACAUUGCGCCCGCCAGUAUUCUGGCGGGCAUGCCUGUUCGAGCGUCAUUUCAACCAUCAAGCCCCCCGGCUUGUGUUGGGGACCUGCGGCUGCCGCAGGCCCUGAAAAGCAGUGGCGGGCUCGCUGUCACACCGAGCGUAGUAGAUCUCAUCUCGCUCAGGGCGUGCUGCGGGUUCCGGCCGUUAAAAAGCCUUUUUUACCCAAGGUUGACCUCGGAUCAGGUAGGAAGACCCGCUGAACUUAAGCAUAUCAAUAAGCGGAGGA
rnacentral:misc_RNA from 1 species